ensembl:lncRNA
GGUGAGGGGAGCAAGACAGGAGGCCGCUCCAUUGAAGAUUCUCACAGACCGUCCUCUGCUCUGGGUGAAAUCAAGCUGAUUACCUCAGUCAGACCCUGGAGCAGGCGCCUUGUGGCUGACUGACACCCUGCGUAAGCUGUCUGCCUCCAGACAGAGAACAACAACUCAGCUGAGAGCAGCCCCGGCAGGGUUUCCAGCCUGCGCGCCUGUCUCCGACAGACCAGGCCACGCUGAAAGGGUGAGCCCCACGGAUGUCAUCAAAACAGCGGAUUAGAAAUGCAAACCUAUGCUUUCAACUCUUCUUUCUAAAAGGCCCAGGGCUCCACCAGAAAGCACUACUGGCAUCAAGGAGAGCAUCAUCUCCAGACUGCAGCAGAGAUAAAACAAUCUCACAGGAGGAUUUCAAAGGGGUGACAACCAUCUGCUGCCUCCCCAGGCUGACCUUGAACUUGUGAUCUUCCUGCCUCAACCACCUGAGUAGCUGAGAGUAUAUGCAUGUGCCACAGCACCCAGCUGUUUUCUUUCUCAGCACCAGAAGUCGAACUCAGGACCUUGCACUUGCCAGGUCGUGGUGGACGGGACACCAGAGGAGACCGGAGCUCGUUCUCAGGCCGAGGCCUCCCACCACCCCCAGCACCAAGUGUCAUCUGGUGUCCCCUGCAGCUUUGCCAGAGCCCCGGAUUCUCACGGGUCUCACUUACUGUCUUGCUGCAGGCACUAGAGGAGGUGGACACAAACUUUCUGUUGUUUUUGAAGGGGACAUUGUCACAUGUUGUCACACUAACUGAGCUCCCAAGGUUGUUAGCAAAAUCCAUGGCUGGACCCGGGCCACUGAAGUUAGAGCUGGGGCAGGCAUUUUUUAGUGGAAAAAGAAUGCACUUUAGGGGCUGGGGAUUUAGCUCAGUGGUUUCACCGCCCGCUGAGCAAGCGCAAGGACCCGAGUUCGAUCCCGAUACCAAAAAAAAAAAAAAAAC